rnacentral:sRNA from 12 species
CUUGCGGACUGUUAUAUCAAAUGAGAGUAGAUUUUUAUGCUACAAGCAUGAAAACAAAAUCAGACAGGUUGAAACAAGAA